rnacentral:lncRNA from 1 species
CUUUGCAAUAUGAAUUUCUUAUACUCACCAUAAUUCAGAAUCUGCUACCUUUGUUCCAAACCCCAGGUCAAUUUUGCCAUAUGUAAACUGCUGUUCUAUCAGAGUGGUACAUUUGAUAGUAGUCAGAAUUUUUGCAAUGUGCAUUUUCAAAGUAUCAUCUCCACACAGAGUUAACAAAACUUCAAUGGCCUUAACCAUCCUUUCACAUUUUUUUCUUAGUAAGGCCUCAUCUAGAUUUUGUUCUGUGAACUGAAGCUGAUCAAGGAUUGUAGGCAACAGAAGGGUCACAAAACGAUCAGCUGAGGAACAGUUAGCAGUAUCUAUGGCAUCCUAGAAAAUUAAUAGCCAACAAUGAUUAAAAAUGAAGA